rnacentral:rRNA from 1 species
CGGUUAACCGGUUGAAAUUAAGCAUAUCAAUAAGCGGAGGAAAAGAAACUAACAAGGAUUCCCCUAGUAACUGCGAGUGAAGCGGGAAAAGCUCAAAUUUAAAAUCUGGUGGUCUUUGGCCAUCCGAGUUGUAAUUUAGAGAAGCGUCUUCCGCGCUGGACCGUGCACAAGUCUCCUGGAAUGGAGCGUCAUAGAGGGUGAGAAUCCCGUCUUUGGCACGGACGCACCAGGGCUUUUGUGAUGCGCUCUCGAAGAGUCGAGUUGUUUGGGAAUGCAGCUCAAAAUGGGUGGUGAACUCCAUCUAAAGCUAAAUAUUGGCGAGAGACCGAUAGCGAACAAGUACCGUGAGGGAAAGAUGAAAAGCACUUUGGAAAGAGAGUGAAACAGUACGUGAAAUUGUUGAAAGGGAAACGCUUGAAGUCAGUCGCGUCUACCGAGACUCAGCCUCGCCUCGGCUUGGUGUACUUCUCGGCCGACGGGUCAGCAUCAAUUUUGCCCCUUGGAUAAUGGCGAGGGAAAUGUGACACCUUUACGGUGUGUUAUAGUCUCUCGUCGCAUGCAAGGGUUGGGAUUGAGGAACUCAGCACGCGCCUUUGGGCGUCGGGGCUUUGCCCACGAUACGUGCUUAGGAUGUUGGCGUAAUGGCUUUAAACGACCCGUCUUGAAACACGGACCAAGGAGUCUAACAUGCCCGCGAGUGUUCGGGUGGAAAACCCGUGCGCGCAAUGAAAGUGAAAGUUGGGACCUCCGUCGUGGAGGGCACCGACGCCCGGACCAGACCUUCUGUGACGGCUCUGCGGUAGAGCGUGUAUGUUAGGACCCGAAAGAUGGUGAACUAUGCCUGAAUAGGGUGAAGCCAGAGGAAACUCUGGUGGAGGCUCGUAGCGAUUCUGACGUGCAAAUCGAUCGUCAAAUUUGGGUAUAGGGGCGAAAGACUAAUCGAACCAUCUAGUAGCUGGUUCCUGCCGAAUUCCCCUCAGGAAAUAAAAAAACCUGC